ACUGACCAUCGCUCUUCUUCGCCGUUCUGCUCUAAUCGUCGCUGCGCCGCUCUAACCAUCGUCAUCUCCGUGCUUCUCAUCAUCAUCUUCUCUGUGCUCACAUCAUUGAAUAGGAAAAGUGGUUGGAGGUUUUGGGUUGUUCAGCGACAGAGCAAGAAAUUCUAAGAAGAAAUGGGAAGCCAAACAAUGCUGCCAUGAGUUUCAAAAAUUUCGAGUGUAUAUGAGCAGCAUAGUCAAGUGACUGUAGCAUAUGCUUCAUCUUCUUAUUCUGGCAUCUGGUAGGAAUGAGGAAAAUAUCUUAAAAAGUGUAUCUUAGGAUUGGAAUGCAAUCAGAUUUGGCACAGUCUUGGAAAAUGUGGUAUUUGAUGAGCAUUCUCGAGAGGUUGAUUACUCAGACAAAUCAGUUACAGUGACAGCUUCUGUUACAUAUGAUCACAAAGCAAUUGUUGUUAAUGGGCAGAGAAAGAUUCUAUUUCUGGUUCUAUACACUACGCCAAAAGCACACCUCAGGU